rnacentral:lncRNA from 1 species
AUGUCUGUCAUAGCAAAUACACUUCAGGAGAAGUCCCUUUGGCAGCUUCAUUUCUCUUCUCUGAACGUGUUCCAGGAACUUAAUAUCCUUCUUAUAGAGACCCAAAACACUUCCAACUCCCUGGACUGCUUUCUGAUAAAAACUUGUUACAAUACACCUCAAGAAUUUCAAUGGAUGAGUGACUCACGUAACAGCUACACUGUUCUAGCCACUACAAUGCUAUUGCAUGGUGUCCUGGACCAUUCAAAAAUGUUGCUUGGAAGCCUGAAUGUGGAAAGCUGUGAGCUGUGCACAUUUUCCCUUCUGCAUAGCUAGCCAUCACCUGGCUCUGCUUGGGGGAGACAGCCCCCAGUUGCACUCUCAUUGCCCUCAGGCAUAGCCCUUCCCUUGAGGGGGAAAAAUCUCCAGUAAUUUCACAACCUCUGGCGGUUGUUACUUCUCCUGGUGUCAACACCACUGAAAGCUACGUGCCAGUGCUGACAAAUAAGGGGAUGUAUUUACAUUGGAUGCUCAUCCCACACUGGUCUAACAGACGCUGUGGGAGACCUAGAAGAAGAGACCUAUUUCUCCUCUGGUUGAACCAGACAAAGAAAUUUCUUAAGUGAAUAAGCUCAUGCACUGGAUAGCCACCACAGCCUAAUGACAGGAGACUACAGCAUUCUUACCAGUAGUGUCAGGAUUAAAAGUCUACAGUGCUGCAAAAGUUUUGGCUUCAUUGCAGACUAACAAGGAUGUGCAAUUUGAGCAAAUGAAAGGCAGAUCUUUUGUGAGUUGAUGUAAAGUUCUGAUGUUUCCUCCAACUUAUUUGUCCUCAUAACUGUCAUCAGUCUAGAAGGAAUUUUGGCAGCCUUGUUAAGGAAGCAGCCAGAAAACCUAUCACAGUAAUAAGUAGACAGCAUCAGCCUGGAUUCUCUAAUCUAUUUAUAAUCAAGAAUUGUCCAAAGUACAAAAGUCUCUCUGUUGUGAGGGUCUUUGUUUGGAUUUCCAGGGCACACCCUCUCUGCUUUGCCUUGCAUGCAAUCAUAUUAACACAUACAAUAACGCAAUUUAAGCGUGACUUACUGCAGGGGGUGGGCACACACUAGCUCAGAGGUCCCAGCAAACUGUGGCUUCUGGCUCAGGGCCUGUUGGCAGCAGCACAAAUGACAACACCGGAGAAGAAGCUCUGUGCAGGUUGCUGCCAAGCUGCUACUCUCAGUAUAAGUUUCUUGAUGUAAAAAAAAAAAAAAAAAAAAAAAAAAAAAAAAAACACCAAUUUUAUUACCAAAAUCUAAUUGGCCUAGUGAGAGCACAUUUUAAAGGCUGCAAAUGAACA